GAUGAACGCUGGCGGCGUGCCUAAUGCAUGCAAGUCGAGCGAACAGAUGAGGAGCUUGCUCCUCUGACGUUAGCGGCGGACGGGUGAGUAACACGUGGAUAACCUACCUAUAAGACUGGGAUAACUUCGGGAAACCGGAGCUAAUACCGGAUAAUAUAUUGAACCGCAUGGUUCAAUAGUGAAAGACGGUUUUGCUGUCACUUAUAGAUGGAUCCGCGCCGCAUUAGCUAGUUGGUAAGGUAACGGCUUACCAAGGCAACGAUGCGUAGCCGACCUGAGAGGGUGAUCGGCCACACUGGAACUGAGACACGGUCCAGACUCCUACGGGAGGCAGCAGUAGGGAAUCUUCCGCAAUGGGCGAAAGCCUGACGGAGCAAUGCCGCGUGAGUGAUGAAGGUCUUCGGAUCGUAAAACUCUGUUAUUAGGGAAGAACAAAUGUGUAAGUAACUAUGCACGUCUUGACGGUACCUAAUCAGAAAGCCACGGCUAACUACGUG
rnacentral:rRNA from 1 species